rnacentral:rRNA from 1 species
AAUCAACGCUGGCGGCGUGCCUAACACAUGCAAGUCGAACGAGAAAGGGGAGCAAUCCCUGAGUAAAGUGGCGACCGGGUGAGUAACACGUGACUAACCUACCUUCGAGUGGGGGAUAACCUCGGGAAACCGGGGCUAAUACCGCAUAACAUCUUUGGAGUGGAAAUUCCGGGGAUCAAAGGAGCAAUUCGCUGGAAGAGGGGGUCGCGGCUGAUUAGCUAGUUGGCGGGGUAACGGCCCACCAAGGCAGAUCGGUAGCCGGCCUGAGAGGGCGCACGGCCACACUGGAACUGAAACACGGUCCAGACUCCUACGGGAGGCAGCAGGUGGGGAAUUUUGCGCAAUGGGGGAAACCCUGACGCA